rnacentral:tRNA from 1 species
CGGGGUGUAGCGCAGCCUGGUAGCGCACUUGCUUUGGGAGCAAGGGGUCCCCAGUUCGAAUCUGGGCACCCCGACCA